rnacentral:misc_RNA from 1 species
AAGUCGUAACAAGGUUUCCGUAGGUGAACCUGCGGAAGGAUCAUUAACACGUAUCCAAACGUUUAAAAAAAAAAGAAAACCCCCCUGUGAACAUUUGCUUGCUCUUGCAGCCCGCCUGGCUAGAAAAUCCCUGGUAAAUCAUCGCUGAACUAGUUUGAUUCAGGGACCGUCUGGUUGGGUGAGAGCCAUAGCUGCAAUCGAGAGAUCGUGGCAUAACCAAGCCUGCUCCGUAAAGUCCCCUGCGUACGUGAAAUUGGUAUUGGGGUGUAUGUACUGGAGAAACCCUUCUGGAUGAUGGACGGCCACCACGGCCGGUCGCUGCUGCUUGUGGGCGUUCGUGCCCCCCAGGAUUACCCCGCUAGCAACCAUUACGUGUUGAGCCCGUAAACCGAAAUACUUGAACAACUGCUAACAAUGGAUAUCUUGGUUCUC